rnacentral:rRNA from 1 species
GGACGAACGCUGGCGGCGUGCUUAACACAUGCAAGUCGAACGGUGAAGCCCUUCGGGGUGGAUCAGUGGCGAACGGGUGAGUAACACGUGAGCAAUCUGCCCUUGACUCUGGGAUAACUUCGGGAAACCGGAGCUAAUACCGGAUAUGACACGCGGCCGCAUGGUCUGUGUGUGGAAAGAUUUUAUUGGUCAGGGAUGAGCUCGCGGCCUAUCAGCUUGUUGGUGGGGAAUGGCCUACCAAGGCGACGACGGGUAGCCGGCCUGAGAGGGCGACCGGCCACACUGGGACUGAGACACGGCCCAGACUCCUACGGGAGGCAGCAGUGGGGAAUAUUGCGCAAUGGGCGAAAGCCUGACGCAGCGACG